rnacentral:other from 1 species
AUCUCCCUGCGGUGUACGUGAUGGUUUGGAGGCUCGUUUGAGCCAUUGCUGUAUCGAAAGAGAGUUGCGACGCUUCGCCGUGUGCAUGCCUCCGCGCGAGGAAGCCUUAGAGGCGGGGUAUUGACCUAGCGGCUCCACCUGCUCAGGCAGGUUCAUACGACCUCCCCACACGGCAGUUCGCGGGGUUCCA